GAUGAACUUCCGUACUUAUUCUACGUAGCUUGAAUGACUUUGGCUGAAUUUAUUCUUCCCUCUUUUCAUCUUUGAUACUUUGACUUUUCAUCAUGAUAAGUUUUGUACUUAUUCCAAUAAGUCAGCCAAUCCAUUUGGAUAAUUUCUUUUCAGCUUUGGAAUUGGCUAUAUAUUACUGUUAGCUGGAAAGUUACAAAAAAAUAUUUUGCUUUUCUGGGUGUGGGGAAAUCAAUUUAUGAGAAUCUUGUCUGCUGUGGUACAAAAAUAGGUGGCUUCAAAUUAAGUUGUUACUUGCCAUGUUCUUUGUCUUACGUCUCCUGAUAUUCAGCAUUCUUAGUGGUAAAGUCAGUUCAUAGGCCUGAGCAUGAAGCAUGUACUUGCAACUCAAUUAUACGUCUUACCCAGUUCCCAUAUUUGAAAUAGAGAACAUAUUGUGAAUUCUUUAACUUAUUCCUUUUUUAAAAAAAAACAUCUCUUACCAUAAUUGUUGUUUAUGUAACAUGUGGAGCUCUCUGCAAUAUCUUGAUAAACAAAUCUAUGGUGCCUCUUAAAUGAUAGAGUUAAAUAUAUUUUCCUAAAAGUUUAAACUGAUAAGAAGAUGUUUGUGGAUCGAGGCGUCUAGCUAAUAUCUUGUGAAAAAUUAAUAAAUCGACGGAAUCUGAGCACUGACUGUCCCAACACUAGACCUUUGGCUUUGGUACCAAAUUAAAUAAUUGGUUGUAGUUUAUGCUAAAAACUUAAGCUGUUAAGAAAAAUCCAGUCUGUUCUCCAUACACUAGGUAUCUUGGUAUCAAACCAAAUACCAUGACUCAGUACAAUGUCUACUAUUGAACUUUUGGGGCACAAGUCCAAACCUUUUACUUAAUUUACACUGUUUAAGAGUGAAUGAAUUUCACAAGAAAAGAGAAGCUAAUUUGCAAAUCUACAUUUUUAUAUUUAUAAUUCGAAUAUAAAUAUGGAUAUUUAAAUGUAUCCUACAUUUGUUGUCUUGUAAUACAUGUGUUCCUUAAUGAAUCAAUUGCUGACAAUAGAUUUUAGUUAAUCUUAGUGUAAAUAAGGAUCAAGUCAAAAUGACUCAGUACAAUGUCUACUAUUGAACUUUUGGGGCACAAGUCCAAACCUUUUACUUAAUUUACACUGUUUAAGAGUGAAUGAAUUUCACAAGAAAAGAGAAGCUAAUUUGCAAAUCUACAUUUUUAUAUUUAUAAUUCGAAUAUAAAUAUGGAUAUUUAAAUGUAUCCUACAUUUGUUGUCUUGUAAUACAUGUGUUCCUUAAUGAAUCAAUUGCUGACAAUAGAUUUUAGUUAAUCUUAGUGUAAAUAAGGAUCAAGUCAAAAUGACUUGGCCUUUAAAACUAGAUAAGCAUAUCUUGCAUAAUCCACAGAUACUUGAUUUCUAAUAAUAAAUCAAUGUUGUUAUUUUGUCUAAGAAAUAUUCUCUAGCACAGUGUCAUCCCAGUUUCAUUUAUUUUUACUGUUUGCCGUCUUAUGCUGUUUACUUUUAUUGGAACUAAUCUUAGUUUUUCCUGUAAAG
rnacentral:lncRNA from 1 species